UGGCCCCUUUUUUGCCCACCCUGGACUUCUUGUGUGUCCUUGGUGUCUAACACAGAGGGGCAAAUUAUUAUAGCUCUCAUAAACCUGUAGUGAAGGAACAAACCCUCUCUGCGGAUCCUGUCGGGAGAAACAACC
rnacentral:snoRNA from 10 species